rnacentral:lncRNA from 1 species
GGAGUCUAGACCAGGCCAUGGUCUUCUGGCCCCAGUAGACAGAAUCCCCUCACUGCAAAUCCCCAAAGUAGGUGGCUAGGGGUAGAGGGAUGACCUGUACAGAAAGCCCAGGGACACUGGCCUUCUCAGACCCAUCUGGAUUGGCUUAGGUCAGCUUCUUCACCAGGACACCAUAGACCACCUGGCCCUUUGUGCCAGCCUCAGCACCCUGCUGCCCUGUGACCCCCUCAAUCCUGAUGCUGCUGUCUCCAAGCUCCGUGAAUUUGGCAGCUAAGCAGCCUCCAGCCCCAUCUGUGUGGUGGAGACAACCUCACACAACUGUGAUGCAAAAUGAAACCAUGUAUGAAAAACUCAGGAUGUGCUUAGUUAUUCUGUCCUUUCGGUGGCUACUGUUUCUCUUUUAUUUAUUUUUUCUUUCUUUUAUUUUUCCUGGCUGUGGCAUGCAGAAGUUCCUGGGAUUGAGCCCAAGCCACAGCAGUGACAAUGCUGAAGCCUCAACCUACUAGGCCACCAUGGAGCUCCAGAAACAGGGUCAGUGCAAAUCUGCAGUUGAUGGCAGCUGGUCAAAGGCUUUUGGUCUGGAAAACUCCUCAAAGGUGAAGAAUUUACAUUGAUGAAGAGGUAAAAAGGCCCAAAUCAAAUGUAGACUCAAGUACUAGGCUGCAUAAGAUUAAAUCAGUGAAAAAACCAGGACAGUUUUUGAUGUGUGUGCAAGUGUGCGUGUGUGGAGUCUGUGGUUUAUUUGGGGUUGAUCACAAUUACCUCCAAAUGUUACAAAACCAUAAACAAAACCCUGGGAGAAUUUAAUUUGAGGCAUCCAAAUACAGUUCAACUUUAUUAAUUCAAUCUAAUUUCUUAUUUGUGGCUGUGGGCAAGCAACUUCCCAAAUUAAGGACUUUGCUUAAACAAAUGGUAAGCAGUUCAGGAAACAGUAGUUUGCAUUUAAAUUGGCACAACCAGGUAGUUUCUGCCCUGGCGCAGUGGUUAACAAAUCUGACUAGGAGCUGCGCGGUUGUGGGUUUGAUCCCUGGCCUCAAUCAAUGGGUUAAGGAUCCAGUGUUGCCGUGAGCUGUGGUGGAGGUCACAGACACGGCUCAGAUCCCAUGUUGCUGUGGCUGUGGUGUAGGCCGGCAGCUAUAGCUCUGAUCGGACUCCUAGCCUGGGAACUUCCAUAUGCGUCGGGUGUGGCCCUCAAAAGACAAAAGACAAAAUAAAUAAAUAAAUAAAUAAAUAAAUAAAUAAAUAAAUAAAUAAAUAAAUAAAAUUGGCACAACCAGAAUAUUUUCAACAGUUGGACCAUGUUAGUUUUCUUUUCCAUUCUCACGUGCACAAUGAAUUUACUCAGCCAAGAGUUUUCUAUCAUAUAGAGAUAAUCCUUGGUUCUGUUCUCACCUGGCAUCAGUUCCAAAAUAGUGUGUCAUAGGUGGAUGACUGGGGCAAAAAGGGACAUUAAUAAAAAAAAUUUUUUUUUUUGCUUUUUUGGGCCACAUCUGUGGCAUAUAGAAGUUCCCAGGCUAGAGAUCAAAUCAGAGCUGCAAUUGCUGGCCUACUCCACAACCAUAGCAAUGCUAGAUCUGAGCCACAUCUGCGACCUACACCACAGCUCAUGGCAAUGCUGGAUCCUUAACCCACUGAGCAAGGCCAGGGAUCAAACCCGUGACCUCAUGGAUACUAGUCAGGUUCAUUACUGCUGAGCCACAAGGGGAACUCCCAGACAUUUAUAAAAUUCGAAUUGUGGUCUCAUUCUGUGUUACCUCUUGUUCUUUCACUAACUGGUGCAAAGUAGCAAACAAUAAUAAGCAAAGAAAGACAGGACAUGCCUCUGCAUGUCAUGCAGCACCAGGCCCUGGAGUUGCCCCAGGAGCAGUUUGGGACUCUUGCCUUCAGGAGCCUCUCAGUCUGCUUGCAGGUCGAAGACAGCACAAUGUGGGGACAUGGGACCAUAGGAUUCAGCUUGCCCUGCCACAAAGCUUUGGUGGCUUCUUAUUUCUCAGGGCUGUGGUUGACCAGCCUCUGCCCUUCUUUCUGGCCUCAUCUCACUCCUUGCCCCCUGGCUGCCUCAGGCUUUGUCCUGAACUUUUGUGUCUGGGCAGGUGCCCCGUGGGGAGCUGGAACUGAGAACCUAGGACCCCCAACUGCUUGAGGCCACUCACUCCACUGUGGUAGCCUCCAGGGACCAGCAUGUGUUGGGCCUUGACCCUCAGGCCUGAUUCCUCACCAUAGCAGUCGAGGGCCACAGACAUGACAGAUUGAACAACCCUGAAAGAACAGGGAGCAGGCUGGAGGUCCCGGGUGGAAACCAAUGAAAAGUCAGCUUAUAGUUACCAGAAGAGAAAUGUUGGGGGGAGGGAUAAAUUAGGAGGAUGGGAUGAACACAUACACACUAAUAUAUAUAAAAUAGAUAUAUAACAAGGAUCCACUGUAUAGGAGUUCCCGCCGUGGCUCAGUGGUUAACGAAUCCAACUAGGAACCAUGAGGUUGCAGGUUCGAUCCCUGGCCUCGAUCAGUGGGUUAAGGACCCGGUGUUGCCAUGGGCUGUGGUAUAGGUCGCAGAUGCAGCUCAGAUUCAGCGUUGCUGUCUGUGGCUGCAAUGUAGACCGGCGGCUACAGCUCCAAUUCAACCCCUAGCCUGGGAACCUCCAUAUGCUGCCGGUGUGGCCCUAGAAAAAGAUAAAAAAAAGGAUCCACUGUAUAGCACAGGGAAAUCUACUCAGUACUGUGUAAUAACCCAGAUGGGAACAGAACCUGAAAAAGAAUGGAUGGAUAUAUAACUGAUUCACUGGGCCAUAUACCUGAAACUAACAGAACAUUGUUAGUUAACUAUGGAGUUCCUUUCAUGGCACAAACGAAUCCGACUAGGAACCAUGGGGUUGCGGGUUCGAUCCCUAGCCUCGCUCAGUGGGUUAAGGAUCUGGUGUUGCCCUGAGCUGUGGUGUAGGUCGCAGACAUGGCUUGGAUCUGGCGUCACUAUGGCUCUAGUGUAGGCCAGCAGCUUAUAGCUCCGAUUUGACCCCUAGCCUGGGAACCUCCAUAUGCCGUGGGGGCGGCCCUUAAAAAAAAAAAAA